GAUGAACGCUGGCGGCGUGCCUAAUACAUGCAAGUCGAGCGAACGGACGAGAAGCUUGCUUCUCUGAUGUUAGCGGCGGACGGGUGAGUAACACGUGGAUAACCUACCUAUAAGACUGGGAUAACUUCGGGAAACCGGAGCUAAUACCGGAUAAUAUUUUGAACCGCAUGGUUCAAAAGUGAAAGACGGUCUUGCUGUCACUUAUAGAUGGAUCCGCGCUGCAUUAGCUAGUUGGUAAGGUAACGGCUUACCAAGGCAACGAUGCAUAGCCGACCUGAGAGGGUGAUCGGCCACACUGGAACUGAGACACGGUCCAGACUCCUACGGGAGGCAGCAGUAGGGAAUCUUCCGCAAUGGGCGAAAGCCUGACGGAGCAACGCCGCGUGAGUGAUGAAGGUCUUCGGAUCGUAAAACUCUGUUAUUAGGGAAGAACAUAUGUGUAAGUAACUGUGCACAUCUUGACGGUACCUAACCAGAAAGCCACGGCUAACUACGUGCCAGCAGCCGCGGUAAUACGUAGGUGGCAAGCGUUAUCCGGAAUUAUUGGGCGUAAAGCGCGCGUAGGCGGUUUUUUAAGUCUGAUGUGAAAGCCCACGGCUCAACCGUGGAGGGUCAUUGGAAACUGGAAAACUUGAGUGCAGAAGAGGAAAGUGGAAUUCCAUGUGUAGCGGUGAAAUGCGCAGAGAUAUGGAGGAACACCAGUGGCGAAGGCGACUUUCUGGUCUGUAACUGACGCUGAUGUGCGAAAGCGUGGGGAUCAAACAGGAUUAGAUACCCUGGUAGUCCACGCCGUAAACGAUGAGUGCUAAGUGUUAGGGGGUUUCCGCCCCUUAGUGCUGCAGCUAACGCAUUAAGCACUCCGCCUGGGGAGUACGACCGCAAGGUUGAAACUCAAAGGAAUUGACGGGGACCCGCACAAGCGGUGGAGCAUGUGGUUUAAUUCGAAGCAACGCGAAGAACCUUACCAAAUCUUGACAUCCUUUGACAACUCUAGAGAUAGAGCCUUCCCCUUCGGGGGACAAAGUGACAGGUGGUGCAUGGUUGUCGUCAGCUCGUGUCGUGAGAUGUUGGGUUAAGUCCCGCAACGAGCGCAACCCUUAAGCUUAGUUGCCAUCACUAAGUUGGGCACUCUAAGUUGACUGCCGGUGACAAACCGGAGGAAGGUGGGGAUGACGUCAAAUCAUCAUGCCCCUUAUGAUUUGGGCUACACACGUGCUACAAUGGACAAUACAAAGGGCAGCGAAACCGCGAGGUCAAGCAAAUCCCAUAAAGUUGUUCUCAGUUCGGAUUGUAGUCUGCAACUCGACUACAUGAAGCUGGAAUCGCUAGUAAUCGUAGAUCAGCAUGCUACGGUGAAUACGUUCCCGGGUCU
rnacentral:rRNA from 1 species